UGCUGUUUUGAUAUAUUUAUUUUGCAUUUGGCUAUUUGUAUAAUCUUGGGUUGCUUUUUGAUAUUCUCCAUGUCAUUUAGGGAAGUUUGAUUAUGGAUUGAACAGAAACUGAGUAUAAAUAAAUAUAUACAAUGUGAUCUAACUUAUAUCUUCAUAUCACUUCCCUCUCCCUUGCAAUAAAAGCAUAUCAUGUAUGUUAACACUCAGGACAUAAAAUAUCUGCCAAUAGUCAUACAGUAUACAAUAACUACUCAAAAUCUGUCCUUUUGCCAUAUGAAAAUCCAUCUUUAUCUAUUGCCAGAAUUGAGCCAGAGCCACACUAAUUUUUUAGUGUCCCAUAUCUGUUCAUAGCUGAAAUGAAUAACAUCCAAUCCUUAGACAAUACAAUUUUAAAGAUGGCUUUAAACAUGAUUAAGCUUCUUGGAAAAGAUCCAUUUAAUUUUUUUUUACUGAGGUCUGGGUGGUACAGAUAGAUUCGAUGCACUUUGAUCAAUAUUAAAGCUAUUGUCUGUUUUAAGCGAUUUUCUAUUUCUUUCUUAGUAACAGUUCUAGUAUGAAUAACAAAACCUAAGAACAAUAGGGUAUUUUAUGUAUAAGCACAAUCAUAUAUAAAUACAAGUUAUGCUAUUGUUCUGAUAAUAUGAUGGCAUAACUCUGGACAAUUCUUAGCCUCCAACAUCCUAUUCACUAUUUUUUACAUUUUCUUUCAUGCUUUGAGAAUUGUGAAUAAAUGCCUUAAAUCUGGAACAUCCUUUAAUAAAACCACUUGUUUUUGCCAUUUUGUUUGGGGUUUCAUGGAACAGGUGUACUAAAUCUCUGCAAUGUUUAAAUUUUAAUUGCACUCCUUAAAAUUGCUGAACAUCUCUUAAUAGAUAUUCAUUCUUCAACAGCUAGUUCUGACAAUUCUGGGGGGGGGGGAGCAUUUGUAGAGAACAAUGCAUACCAGGUUCCCUUUAUUUUACACUAAGUAAAAACAAAGAAAGUUUUCCAAGUCCUUCCCUGUGGCAAAUUUCUUAUAGAUGAACUUAUGGGCCAGACAGAACACAGGUCCAAGGAAAAUGGAACAUUUGAAAAGCCUAAGUACAUUCUGAAAUCAGUGAAUCUUUAUUAGAAAUAUUCUUUUUGUAUGUGCCACUUGGGUAGUAGGUAAUUUCAGCUCUUAUUUUUCUGUAUGCUCCCUUAGAAUAUAGCUGGAAUAAGCCAUUUAGAUCGCAGAAUCUCAUUCUCUAUCCAGCAUCAGUAACAGAUGGUGACCAGUCUCUGCUUGAAAAUGAGUCCACUAUCUCCUAAUGUAAUUGGCUCUAUUGCCAGACUGCUCUGAUUGGACCUUUCUCCCUCUCCUGAGAGCAAUCAUGUUUUUGUCUUAAUUGUAUGUUAUAAUCUCGGCAUCUAAAGUGCAGCAUUCAUAAGAAACAUUCUACUUCAUGAGGAAUAUUCUACUAGAUUGUUUUGUUGAUUGAUUUGGGAUUAUUAAUCAGGACAUGGCUUUGUUGCUUAUUUUGUUUACUAAAAAUGUUUUAACUCUAAAUGAUGCCCCCUCCAAUUCAGUGUUUGUUGCUACAUGUAUCUUCCCCUGGUACUUGCACAAUGCAUCCCAUCAAGUCUUAUUCCUGGUUAGAACACACAAAAACAUCUCAUGCUGUGAAUUAACAGAAAAAAGAGUUCAGAACAGAGCAAAGAAUCAGCGUGAGAGAGCUAAAAUAGCAGCAGACUUACUUAAGCUUUGACUGCUUUGCUUCCUAGUGUAUUUUGUUAAUUUUUAUGAUGGCCAGUUAGACUACAGCAGAACUGAGAAAACAUUAUACAUUAUUCUGGCUUGUAAUUUAACUGUUUUGUUUUAUGUCAUGGGGCAUUUUUUGGAUAUAGAAAAAUAAGAAGUCUAGAGUUAUUUUUCCCCCUUCCCUGAUUCUAUCAAUUAACACUCUUUCUUGAUAGACAAGCUCCCGCCAGAACAGAAAUUAAGUGGUAUUAAUGAAUCGAUGGAUGUUUAGUAGGAUAAAACAAUUCCUCCUCCUGUUUUAAAUUGUCAUCAAAUCCCUGCCUGAGAUCAUCUUAGCUUUUUCUGAUUGAGAAACGGACUUAUGUUAGAGAAACAAAUAUGGAUUCAAAAUUUUGUUUUUGGCUGUUUUCUAGACUAUACUUCUAUUAUCCUAGGCUCCUGUACCUUUAUUAAAUGAGAUGGGCUCCAUCACUCUCCCUGAUUAAAAUGCGCCUCUUCGCUUGAAGUCACAGAAAUAUAAUUUCCCUUUCUUGCUUGGAAGAAGUCUCCUAAACUACUGAGGAUGCGCAUUCUUGGUCUUCUUUCCUCUGGGGAAGAAAAGGGCACACAGGUCCCUGAAGAGGUUGCCUUUCUUGCCCUUGAGCCUUUGGCUUCCCCAGGGAGGCGAUUGCCAAAACCAGUCUCGCUUUCCAGUCAAAUGCCUCCCUGAAGAGAAGGCAAGGCUGGUGAUGUCAAAGUCCGUUUAACUUCUGGCAAGAAUGUCUGCAUCUUCCAAGUAGAAGCUGAAGCAAGAGACUCCCUGAGCAGUUAUAGCUGCUCUUGGAAAUCCAAUGGGGAUGCAAUCUUUGUCAAGUAACAGCAAACCUUUUGGUAAACAACCCAGCUUCUUUUUUUGGAGUAAUUACAGCAACCCUUUUAUUCAUACCUAGAGAAGCAGAUGUGAUGCAUUGCUAACAAAUCUUGCUCUCUAAUUCAAAAUGCUGUUUAAGCAGGGAAAUUGGGCUAACUGGAAUGUUGCUGAACGCGAGUAGUGCAAGCCUAAUGGAUAAGGCCUCAAGCAAAUUUAAAAUCUUAAAAAUUGCUGUGAUACAUAAAGUUUCCUUUCUUCUUCAAGGUCAAAUGCAACGAUUCUAUGUUAAUCUGCCUCUUAAAAUGGAAGGUCCAUAUUGUAGUCUAAAAUGUUAGCCAAAGAUACACAAUUUGUCCUCUACAAGUGGCCCUCCUCUUCUCUCCAUAGGUUGCUGUACUACAAUUCCCUUCAGCUCUAAUCGGCAUGGGAAGCAGGUCUCUGUCUCACAACAGGCAGAAGCCAUUAACUAUUCCUUGAAAUGCUAACAAGGGCAAUUCUAUUUAGAAAGAUACCAGUAAAAAUAGUAUUAUAACUGGUUACUAAAGUCAGUUUUUCCAAAGGCAUCUUUGCUGUGCGUGUGUUGAUCAUGUGACAAUUACUUUAGGUGUCUUUUUUUAAUAUUGUGCAAAGGAAGUUGAAAAUUCCCACCUGAGUCACCACCAAGUAUCAUUUUUUAAUCUUUCUUUUUUGCUGAGAAAGAGUAAACAGUAUGGAGCUAUGGAUUUAUGUUUUUUUUUAA